ACAGUGAAUGCCUUGGUGUAAGUUGCCGAAGAAGGACGCACAUGGUAGCGAUAUUCGUCGGGGAGGAGCCACGAUCCUGUGAUCCGGCGGUGUCCGAAUGGAGAAAUCCGACCGAGUUCAUACUCGAUCACUCCGUGAUAAAAAUAAUUUACGCAAGUAAGUUGUAUAGUCGCGGUAGAGGGAACCGUCCAAACUGAAACAUCUAAGUAGGGCGAGGAAGAGAAAUCAAUAGAUAUUCCGUCAGUAGCGGAGAGCGAAAGCGGAAAAGCCCAAACCCGCCCGUGCGUAGCACUGGAAGUUCCAAUUUCCAAUCACCAAUUUCCAAAUAAUUUCAAAUUUCAAAUGACAAAUUUUCAAAACAUUUCUAAUCUUAAAGGAGUUUUGAGUUUUUGAUUUUGAAUUUCGAGUUUGUUUGGGAUUUGGAAUUUGGGUUUUGGAAUUUCUCAUGCUGCGCAUGAGUGGGGGUUGUAGGAGCCCGAUGUGGGAGUCGACUUGGUAGCAGAAUUAUCUGGAAUGGUAGAUCAUAGAGAGUGAAAAUCUCGUAUGCAAAAUUAAGUCGACCUCUAGGGAUUUCCUGAGUACCACGAUUUAAAUCUUCGUGGGAAGCUGGGGGAGUCAUCCUCCAAGGCUAAAUACAACUUGCAACCGAUAGUGAACUAGUACCGUGAGGGAAAGGCGAAAAGAAGGGCGAGACGCCCAGUGAAAUAGAACCUGAAACUGUUUGCGGACAAACCGAGAGAGCCUUCGAACAGGAAAUUUCAAAAGACAAAUAACAAAUUACAAACAAGUUCCAAAUAACAGAACCCAAUAUAUAGUUUUAAAAAGUUUUGCAAUUUGUGAAUUAAUUAUUGUUUGUAUAUUGGAAAUUGGUAAUUGGAGUUUCCCGCUCGGAGAGCGGGUGAUCUCGUGCCUAUUGAAGAAUGAGCCGGCGAGUUACCGCGUAGCGCAUAGUCUAACCGAGUCUGACUCGGGGAGGCGUAGGGAAACCAAGUCUGAAUAGGGCGAUUAGCGCGAAGUGGUAGACCCGAAACCGGGUGAUCUAUCCAUGAGCAGGGUGAACCCCGACGAAAGUCGGGGGGAGGCCCGAACCGGUGUAAGUUGCAAUUUGCUCGGAUGACUUGUGGAUAGGGGUAAAAUGCCAAACGAACCCGGAGAUAGCUGGUUCUCCCCGAAAGGUCUAUAGGGACCGUGGUACGUAAGGUGUUGCCGAUGGUAGAGCUACUGAAUGGGUAAGCGAGGGUAACCGAGUUUACUCAAUCAAACUCCGAAUAGCGGUAAACAUUAACGUACUAAACAGUCGCAUCGGGCUAAGCUGAUGCGGCGAAAGGGAAACAUCCCAGACUCUCAGCUAAGGCCUCUAAAUUACAGCUAAGUUUCAAAGGAAGUUCACGUCCGUAGACAGCCAGGAGGUUGGCUUAGAAGCAGCCACCCUUUAAAGAAAGCGUAACAGCUCACUGGUCGAGGUUGUGGGCGCCGAAGAUUUAUCGAGGAUAAGCUGUAUGCCGAAGCUGGAGAUGCCUGUUCGUAGAACAGGAAAUUUCAAAUAAUAAAUGCCAAGUAACAAACCCUUCGAUUUUACUCAGGGUCCUGAGCAGGUCGAAGGACAAAUUCCAAAUAAUAAAAUCCCAAUGAAUAAAAAAGUUUUUAGAUUUUAAGAUUUGUGAUUUAAAUUUUGUUUGUAAAUUGGAUAUUGAAAAUUGGAGUUUCCCGCUCUGCGAGCGGGUGUGGUAGGGGAGCGUUCCGUAUCCAGUGAAGUUAAGCCGUAAGGCUUGGUGGAGGAUACGGGAGUGAGAAUGCCGGCAUGAGUAGCGUACUAUCCCGGAGAGAAUCCGGGACACCGAAUGCCCGAGGAUUCCGUCGCGAGGUUCGUCCCCGACGGGUUAAUCGGUACCUAACCUAAGGCCAAAUGGCGUAGGGGAUGGAUAACUGGUCAAAAUUCCAGUAUUUAUUUUGAAUCGAAAGCCCUUGUGCUUUGCACAAGGAAAUUACAAUAAACAAACACCAAUUUCCAAACAAAUUCCAAAUUGCAAUUAAGAAAAAUAAAAUAAUUGUGAUUUGUUAAUUAAUAUUUGUUUGUAAUUUGUAAAUUGUGUUUUGUGAUUUUCUCGCGCAGAGCACGAGGUAAUUGGGGGUUGACUGGAUAGGAUGGUUGAAGCCUCAUAACGAUUUGGGGUGUAAGUUAUAAGAUAGUGUCAGCAGGAAAAUCCGCUAAUACGUUUAAUCAAGUAGCGAUGCAGAGUCUUGCGCAAGCAAGACAAUUUCAUCCCAUUCAAUCUACAAGAAAAGACUCGCAGUGAGAUUCAAGGUAAGCCGUACCGCAAACCGACACAGGUGGGCUGGUCGAGAAGACUAAGGUGAUCGAGAGAAAGAGGUUCAAGGAACUCGGCAAAAAAUCUGGACGUAAGUUCGCAAGAUGUCCUCCCUGAAAAAUCUUCGGAUUUUUUAGGGUACAACAAAAGAGUGCUAACCGACUGUUUAUCAAAAACACAGGUCCGUGCAAAAGCGAAAGCUAAGGUAUACGGGCUGACGCCUGCCCAGUGCCGGUAAGUGAAGGGGAUGGGUUUUACGGAUUUAUCCGUAAGGCCUUGAACUCAAGCUCCGGUAAACGGCGGCUUUAACUAUAAGAGUCCUACGGUAGCGAAGUUCCUUGUCGUGUAAGUUACGACCCGCACGAAAGGCGUUACGAGUUAGCAACUGUCUCGAGCCUCUACUCGGCGAAAUUGCGUUGGCUGUGAAGACGCGGCCUACUUCCACCAGGACAAAAAGACCCCGUGGAGCUUUGUUUUGUGCGAGCCAAUUGUUUAGAGUAGGAGGGACCCUGAGAGCAAUCGAAGGGGACACUGAAACACCUCCCUUUGGAACGUGGCAAGACUUACCUAACGUCCUUGCAAACAGGUCGAGGAAAAGUGCUAGGUGGGCAGUUUUACUGGGGCGGUACCCUGCCAAAAGGUAACGCAGGGGUACAAAGGUUGGCUUAGCACGGAUGGACAUCGUGCUGAAUGUAUAAAGGCAUAAGCCAGCUUGAUAGCGACUGCGACGGCAGAAGCUAGUACGAAAGUAGGUCUUAGUGAUCCUCCGAUUGCCUAGUGAUAGGCACGGAGCUUAACGGAUAAAAGCUACCCCGGGGAUAACAGAGUAGUCGCACCCGAGAGUCCAUAUCGACGGUGCGGUUCGCUACCUCGAUGUCGGCUCACCGCAUCCUGGGGCUGGAGAAGGUCCCAAGGGUUGGUCUGUUCGCCCAUUAAAGCGGUACGCGAGCUGGGUUCAGAACGUCGUGAGACAGUUGAGUCCGAUAACAUAUCGGACUGACACCAAGCGGUCUCAUCCCUUGACUGACUGAAAUACACAUCGAAGGAUUAGUAACUAAUUUGUUAUCAACAAUCGUUUAUAAGGAUAUAUUAAACGGUUUAAUUUAAAUAUUUAAAUUUGAUCUUUUUGUCUAAAUAGGAAAGAGGGAAUAUAAAUCUGACUAUAUGCUGGAAACUCCGGUGUAUCCUGUGCUACUCUUGAAAAAGAGUGAAAAAGCAACAGGUGCGGACAAUCAGCAGGAAAGGCCUCAUUAGAUAUGGAAUUAUCUAAUGGGGAAUCCUCAACGACUAUACGUCAGAAUACGUUCAGUUUACAUGAACGUAUAAGAUAUAGUCUGAUCUCCAUGGCGACUUGGAGGGUUGAAAAUCGUUCAGCCGUAAAAACAAGCGGAGUAUUGAUAUACUAAAUGUCGGACUCUAUCCGGUGGAAGCGUUCGAGUCUUGAAGGGAGCUGGCCUCAGUACGAGAGGACCAGGCCGGGGGAAUCCCUGGUGUGCCGGUUGUGGCAUCAGCCGCAACGCCGGGUAGCUACAUUCCCAAGGGAUAACCGCUGAAAGCAUAUAAGUGGGAAGCCCCCCCUAAGAUUAGGACUCG
rnacentral:rRNA from 1 species